rnacentral:rRNA from 1 species
UGCAGUCGAGGGGCAGCGGGGUGUAGCAAUACAUCGCCGGCGACCGGCGCACGGGUGCAUAACACGUAUGGAAUCUGCCCUUUACUGGAGGAUAGCCCGGAGAAAUCCGGAUUAAUACUCCAUAACAAGCGAGGUGGCAUCACCUUGCUUUGAAAGCUCCGGCGGUAAAGGAUGACCAUGCGCACGAUUAGCUAGUUGGUGAGGUAACGGCUCACCAAGGCGACGAUCGUUAGGGGGCCUGAGAGGGUUAUCCCCCACACUGGUACUGAGACACGGACCAGACUCCUACGGGAGGCAGCAGUGAGGAAUAUUGCGCAAUGGAGGCAACUCUGACGCAGCCAUGCCGCGUGCAGGAAGAAGGCGCUACGCGUUGUAAACUGCUUUUAUCCGGGAAGAAACCCCUUUACGUGUAGAGGGUUGACGGUACCGGAGGAAUAAGCACCGGCUAACUUCGUGCCAGCAGCCGCGGUAAUACGAAGGGUGCAAGCGUUAUCCGGAUUCAUUGGGUUUAAAGGGUGCGUAGGCGGAGCGUUAAGUCAGUGGUGAAAUCCUGCAGCUCAACUGUAGACUUGCCAUUGAUACUGGCGUUCUUGAGUGCGCUUGAAGUAGGCGGAAUGUGCCGUGUAGCGGUGAAAUGCUUAGAUAUGGCACAGAACACCAAUUGCGAAGGCAGCUUACUAAGGCGAUACUGACGCUGAGGCACGAAAGCGUGGGGAUCGAACAGGAUUAGAUACCCUGGUAGUCCACGCUGUAAACGAUGAUCACUCGAGAUCGGCGAUAUACGGUCGGUCUCCUAGCGAAAGCGUUAAGUGAUCCACCUGGGGAGUACGAUCGCAAGAUUGAAACUCAAAGGAAUUGACGGGGGCCCGCACAAGCGGUGGAGCAUGUGGUUUAAUUCGAUGAUACGCGAGGAACCUUACCAGGGCUCGAACGCACGUGGACAGGGGCGGAAACGUCCUCUUCUUCGGACUGCGUGCGAGGUGCUGCAUGGCUGUCGUCAGCUCGUGCCGUGAGGUGCCGGGUUAAGUCCCAUAACGAGCGCAACCCCCAUCUCUAGUUGCCAGCGGGUAAUGCCGGGGACUCU